GUGCGCCGGCGGUGCGGCUUCCUUCUUGGUUUCCUGUGCCGUGCGGACUGGUCUCGGCGGUCUGGACGCAGUGUCGGUGUUGGAGCAGCAGCGUUACUAUAUUAACUGUCUCAACAAUAAUAAUAAUUAUAAUAUAAAAGCACGGCGAGGGAGCUGUCAGUCAGUAAAUAUGCCGCACGAGCAGGUAGGCCUAGCUGACGGUGUGUUUAGCACGCGCGGUUGUCGGAGCGGCCACGUGGAGGAGCGCGUGGAGGAGAGGCGACAGCAGUGGGAAUGGUGCCGGUGGCCUCAUGUGAUGGAGUAAAGUGAAGACGACGUGGCUCAUGAGGUUGGACCUAAUCCACGAGAAGGUUGGCGUCUGCCGGGUCAAGUUGAAACUGAAAAUGCAGUUUGCAGAAGUUGGCAGUUUCUGAGGAACUCUGACCCAGCUCAAGACAUGAGACCAAAAUUACACAACUGUUUUCAAGCCACUACUUGAAUGGCAGGUGGUAUUGAGCUGACUGAAGAGGAUCUGUAACCCUAACCCUGAUCAAUUCAUCAAAACAGUUACAGAUGUGGCUUCAAAUUGAUGAAACCUUCAUGAUUCAGGAGGUGACUUUUGUCGAUGCAUUCAGUGGAUCCCCUGAAGGCUUCUAUCAAGGACUGCACACAGGUCUGUUUGAGGUGAAGAUGUCCCUGUAUACCAUCCAGUUUGAUGUGGUUGGGUGUCUGCAGUGCGUGGUUAUAGGCAGCAGAAUGAAGUGGAAUCUCAUGUAGCCUACACUUGUCUGAAGAUGCAAUGUCAACAUGAUUUUUUUAAUUGCUGAAUGACAAACGUAUGUUUUGAAAAGUUUAAGCCUAUUUGAUACAUUGUAUUUAAUAAAACGUUAAGUCAAAAGCGACUUCAGUAAUGA